UAGGGAAUCUUCGGCAAUGGACGGAAGUCUGACCGAGCAACGCCGCGUGAGUGAAGAAGGUUUUCGGAUCGUAAAGCUCUGUUGUUAGAGAAGAACGUUGGUAGGAGUGGAAAAUCUACCAAGUGACGGUAACUAACCAGAAAGGGACGGCUAACUACGUGCCAGCAGCCGCGGUAAUACGUAGGUCCCGAGCGUUGUCCGGUUUUAUUGGGCGUAAAGCGAGCGCAGGCGGUUCUUUAAGUCUGAAGUUAAAGGCAGUGGCUUAACCAUUGUACGCUUUGGAAACUGGAGGACUUGAGUGCAGAAGGGGAGGGUGGAAUUCCAUGUGUAGCGGUGAAAUGCGUAGAUAUAUGGAGGAACACCGGUGGCGAAAGCGGCUCUCUGGUCUGUAACUGACGCUGAGGCUCGAAAGCGUGGGGAGCAAACAGG
rnacentral:rRNA from 1 species